rnacentral:rRNA from 1 species
CAGGACGAACGCUGGCGGCGUGCCUAAUACAUGCAAGUCGAACGGUCUUUCUAUGGAAGCUUGCUUCCACUGAGAAGAUAGUGGCGAACGGGUGAGUAACACGUGGGUAACCUGCCCAUAAGAGGGGGGAUAACAUCCGGAAACGGGUGCUAAUACCGCAUAGUUUUCUUGAUCGCAUGAUUGAGAAAGGAAAGACGGCCUUUGUGCUGUCGCUUAUGGAUGGACCCGCGGCGUAUUAGUUAGUUGGUGAGGUAACGGCUUACCAAGACGAUGAUACGUAGCCGACCUGAGAGGGUGAUCGGCCACAUUGGGACUGAGACACGGCCCAAACUCCUACGGGAGGCAGCAGUAGGGAAUCUUCCGCAAUGGACGAAAGUCUGACGGAGCAACGCCGCGUGAGUGAAGAAGGUUUUUCCGGAUCGUAAAACUCUGUUGUCAGAGAAGAACAAGUUGGAGAGUAACUGCUCCAGCCUUGACGGUAUCUGACCAGAAAGCCACGGCUAACUACGUGCCAGCCGCAGC